rnacentral:rRNA from 1 species
AGAUUGAACGCUGGCGGCAUGCCUUACACAUGCAAGUCGAACGGCAGUACGGGAGCAAUCCUGGUGGCGAGUGGCGAACGGGUGAGUAAUAUAUCGGAACGUGCCCAGUCGUGGGGGAUAACGCAGCGAAAGCUGUGCUAAUACCGCAUACGAUCUAUGGAUGAAAGCGGGGGAUCGCAAGACCUCGCGCGAUUGGAGCGGCCGAUAUCAGAUUAGCUAGUUGGUGGGUAAAAGCCUACCAAGGCGACGAUCUGUAGCUGGUCUGAGAGGACGACCAGCCACACUGGAACUGAGACACGGUCCAGGACUCCUACGGGAGCAGCAGUGGGAAUUUUGGACUAAGUGGGCGCGAAGCCUGAUCCAGCAAUGCCGCGUGCAGGAUGAACGUCCGUUCGGUUGUAACUGUCUUUGUACGGUAACGAAACGGUUCUACUCGUUAAGUACGGGACUAAGUGUACGGUACGUAAGAAUAACGCAACCGACUAACGUACGU